UACAGAGGUCUCAAGCGUUGUUCGGAUUCAUUGGGCGUAAAGGGUGCGUAGGCGGCGCGGUAAGUCGGGUGUGAAAUCUCGGGGCUUAACUCCGAAACUGCAUUCGAUACUGCGGUGCUUGAGGACUGGAGAGGAGACUGGAAUUUAUGGUGUAGCAGUGAAAUGCGUAGAUAUCAUAAGGAAGACCAGUGGCGAAGGCGGGUCUCUGGACAGUUCCUGACACUGAGACACGAAGGCCAGGGGAGCAAACGGG
rnacentral:rRNA from 1 species